rnacentral:rRNA from 1 species
GGGUUGUGAGGUUAAGCGACUAAGCGUACACGGUGGAUGCCCUGGCAGUCAGAGGCGAUGAAGGACGUGCUAAUCUGCGAUAAGCGUCGGUAAGGUGAUAUGAACCGUUAUAACCGGCGAUUUCCGAAUGGGGAAACCCAGUGUGAUUCGUCACACUAUCAUUAACUGAAUCCAUAGGUUAAUGAGGCGAACCGGGGGAACUGAAACAUCUAAGUACCCCGAGGAAAAGAAAUCAACCGAGAUUCCCCCAGUAGCGGCGAGCGAACGGGGAGCAGCCCAGAGCCUGAAUCAGUGUGUGUGUUAGUGGAAGCGUCUGGAAAGGCGCGCGAUACAGGGUGACAGCCCCGUACACAAAAAUGCACAUGCUGUGAGCUCGAUGAGUAGGGCGGGACACGUGGUAUCCUGUCUGAAUAUGGGGGGACCAUCCUCCAAGGCUAAAUACUCCUGACUGACCGAUAGUGAACCAGUACCGUGAGGGAAAGGCGAAAAGAACCCCGGCGAGGGGAGUGAAAAAGAACCUGAAACCGUGUACGUACAAGCAGUGGGAGCACGCUUAGGCGUGUGACUGCGUACCUUUUGUAUAAUGGGUCAGCGACUUAUAUUCUGUAGCAAGGUUAACCGAAUAGGGGAGCCGAAGGGAAACCGAGUCUUAACUGGGCGUUAAGUUGCAGGGUAUAGACCCGAAACCCGGUGAUCUAGCCAUGGGCAGGUUGAAGGUUGGGUAACACUAACUGGAGGACCGAACCGACUAAUGUUGAAAAAUUAGCGGAUGACUUGUGGCUGGGGGUGAAAGGCCAAUCAAACCGGGAGAUAGCUGGUUCUCCCCGAAAGCUAUUUAGGUAGCGCCUCGUGAAUUCAUCUCCGGGGGUAGAGCACUGUUUCGGCAAGGGGGUCAUCCCGACUUACCAACCCGAUGCAAACUGCGAAUACCGGAGAAUGUUAUCACGGGAGACACACGGCGGGUGCUAACGUCCGUCGUGAAGAGGGAAACAACCCAGACCGCCAGCUAAGGUCCCAAAGUCAUGGUUAAGUGGGAAACGAUGUGGGAAGGCCCAGACAGCCAGGAUGUUGGCUUAGAAGCAGCCAUCAUUUAAAGAAAGCGUAAUAGCUCACUGGUCGAGUCGGCCUGCGCGGAAGAUGUAACGGGGCUAAACCAUGCACCGAAGCUGCGGCAGCGACGCUUAUGCGUUGUUGGGUAGGGGAGCGUUCUGUAAGCCUGUGAAGGUGUGCUGUGAGGCAUGCUGGAGGUAUCAGAAGUGCGAAUGCUGACAUAAGUAACGAUAAAGCGGGUGAAAAGCCCGCUCGCCGGAAGACCAAGGGUUCCUGUCCAACGUUAAUCGGGGCAGGGUGAGUCGACCCCUAAGGCGAGGCCGAAAGGCGUAGUCGAUGGGAAACAGGUUAAUAUUCCUGUACUUGGUGUUACUGCGAAGGGGGGACGGAGAAGGCUAUGUUGGCCGGGCGACGGUUGUCCCGGUUUAAGCGUGUAGGCUGGUUUUCCAGGCAAAUCCGGAAAAUCAAGGCUGAGGCGUGAUGACGAGGCACUACGGUGCUGAAGCAACAAAUGCCCUGCUUCCAGGAAAAGCCUCUAAGCAUCAGGUAACAUCAAAUCGUACCCCAAACCGACACAGGUGGUCAGGUAGAGAAUACCAAGGCGCUUGAGAGAACUCGGGUGAAGGAACUAGGCAAAAUGGUGCCGUAACUUCGGGAGAAGGCACGCUGAUAUGUAGGUGAAGUCCCUCGCGGAUGGAGCUGAAAUCAGUCGAAGAUACCAGCUGGCUGCAACUGUUUAUUAAAAACACAGCACUGUGCAAACACGAAAGUGGACGUAUACGGUGUGACGCCUGCCCGGUGCCGGAAGGUUAAUUGAUGGGGUCAGCGCAAGCGAAGCUCUUGAUCGAAGCCCCGGUAAACGGCGGCCGUAACUAUAACGGUCCUAAGGUAGCGAAAUUCCUUGUCGGGUAAGUUCCGACCUGCACGAAUGGCGUAAUGAUGGCCAGGCUGUCUCCACCCGAGACUCAGUGAAAUUGAACUCGCUGUGAAGAUGCAGUGUACCCGCGGCAAGACGGAAAGACCCCGUGAACCUUUACUAUAGCUUGACACUGAACAUUGAGCCUUGAUGUGUAGGAUAGGUGGGAGGCUUAGAAGUGUGGACGCCAGUCUGCAUGGAGCCGACCUUGAAAUACCACCCUUUAAUGUUUGAUGUUCUAACGUUGACCCGUAAUCCGGGUUGCGGACAGUGUCUGGUGGGUAGUUUGACUGGGGCGGUCUCCUCCUAAAGAGUAACGGAGGAGCACGAAGGUUGGCUAAUCCUGGUCGGACAUCAGGAGGUUAGUGCAAUGGCAUAAGCCAGCUUGACUGCGAGCGUGACGGCGCGAGCAGGUGCGAAAGCAGGUCAUAGUGAUCCGGUGGUUCUGAAUGGAAGGGCCAUCGCUCAACGGAUAAAAGGUACUCCGGGGAUAACAGGCUGAUACCGCCCAAGAGUUCAUAUCGACGGCGGUGUUUGGCACCUCGAUGUCGGCUCAUCACAUCCUGGGGCUGAAGUAGGUCCCAAGGGUAUGGCUGUUCGCCAUUUAAAGUGGUACGCGAGCUGGGUUUAGAACGUCGUGAGACAGUUCGGUCCCUAUCUGCCGUGGGCGCUGGAGAACUGAGGGGGGCUGCUCCUAGUACGAGAGGACCGGAGUGGACGCAUCACUGGUGUUCGGGUUGUCAUGCCAAUGGCACUGCCCGGUAGCUAAAUGCGGAAGAGAUAAGUGCUGAAAGCAUCUAAGCACGAAACUUGCC